GAUGAGCGCUAGCGGCGGGCUUAAUACAUGCAAGUCAAGGGGUAGCAAUACACCGGCGUACGGGUGCGUAACGCGUAUGGAACCUGCCCUUAUCUGGGGGAUAACUCGGGGAAACUCGAGCUAAUACCGCAUAAGAUAGUAGAAUGGCAUCAUUCAGCUAUUAAAGAUUUAUCGGAUAAGGAUGGCCAUGCGUAAGAUUAGAUAGUUGGUGGGGUAACGGCUCACCAAGUCUACGAUCUUUAGGGGCUCUGAGAGGAGAAUCCCCCACACUGGCACUGAGAUACGGGCCAGACUCGUACGGGAGGCAGCAGUAGGGAAUAUUGGGCAAUGGGCGGAAGCCUGACCCAGCCACGCCGCGUGCAGGAAGAAGGCCCUCUGGGUUGUAAACUGCUUUUGAUUGGGAAGAAAGCAUCUCAUGCGUGGGAUUUUGACGGUACCAAUCGAAUAAGCCACGGCUAACUACGUGCCAGCCGCCGCAGUAACAC
rnacentral:rRNA from 1 species